UUACACAAUAUAAAAAACCAUAAACGCGUUUCGCCAAUCGGCGUUAUCAAUAUGGGCUAUCAAUAACGCCGAUUGGCGAAACGCGUUUAUGGUUUUUUUAUAUUGUGUAA